GUGCUUAACACAUGCAAGUCGAACGAUGAACCACUUCGGUGGGGAUUAGUGGCGAACGGGUGAGUAACACGUGGGCAAUCUGCCCUUCACUCUGGGACAAGCCCUGGAAACGGGGUCUAAUACCGGAUAACACUGCGGAUCGCAUGGUCUGCGGUUAAAAGCUCCGGCGGUGAAGGAUGAGCCCGCGGCCUAUCAGCUUGUUGGUGAGGUAAUGGCUCACCAAGGCGACGACGGGUAGCCGGCCUGAGAGGGCGACCGGCCACACUGGGACUGAGACACGGCCCAGACUCCUACGGGAGGCAGCAGUGGGGAAUAUUGCACAAUGGGCGAAAGCCUGAUGCAGCGACGCCGCGUGAGGGAUGACGGCCUUCGGGUUGUAAACCUCUUUCAGCAGGGAAGAAGCGAAAGUGACGGUACCUGCAGAAGAAGCGCCGGCUAACUACGUGCCAGCAGCCGCGGUAAUACGUAGGGCGCAAGCGUUGUCCGGAAUUAUUGGGCGUAAAGAGCUCGUAGGCGGCUUGUCACGUCGAUUGUGAAAGCCCGAGGCUUAACCUCGGGUCUGCAGUCGAUACGGGCUAGCUAGAGUGUGGUAGGGGAGAUCGGAAUUCCUGGUGUAGCGGUGAAAUGCGCAGAUAUCAGGAGGAACACCGGUGGCGAAGGCGGAUCUCUGGGCCAUUACUGACGCUGAGGAGCGAAAGCGUGGGGAGCGAACAGGAUUAGAUACCCUGGUAGUCCACGCCGUANACGGUGGGAACUAGGUGUUGGCGACAUUCCACGUCGUCGGUGCCGCAGCUAACGC
rnacentral:rRNA from 1 species